UUACUACAUCACUGAUGCUGUGAGUUCUGGAAUGACGUGGCUGACUGACUCACCAUUGUACUCCAGAUGGCUGAGUGAUUCAAGAACAGCACAACAAGGUGGAAUCACCUCUCUGGACAGUGCAGCCCUUGAAUGGUGCAUUAAAGGGACAAAAUGUCUGACACAGAAGAAGAGGAGUCUUUAAACAAUAUCAGCACAACUACUGCCUCUGUCUGUCACCUUCUUUGAAAGGAUGGAGUUUAACCAAAUACUCUGGAGGGAAAAUCAGAGACUUUGAGAAGACAGCAAGAGAACAGCUUCUUGGUUGUUGAGAACAAAGCCUAAUACCAGCAAAAUAAAAUUAUCCACAGACAGAAUGAAGCUCUUUGGGAAGAGAAUACAAAUCUUCAUGAGAGGUAUGUAUGCUUUUCAGAAAAGCCAGUAUGAGAAAUGGCUAUAGGCCUUCCAACAACAAUGUAAGGCCCUCAGGGAAGAACGUAGAGUUCUUAGAGAACAAGAAAUGGCAUUUGAAAUGUAGGACAAAGCUAGGUGGAAAGAGCCUUUACGUCUAUGGAAGAAAAACAAGGCCAAUUUUCUACAAAGGUACAACAGGUACAAGAAGAGAAAGGUCUCUGUGAAGAAAAAAAUGCCCUCAUGGCUCAGAAACUUUCCCUCCUAGACGAGAAUAGGGCACUUCAUAGUCAGAGAAAAGCUAUCCAAGAAGAGCACAAACUCCUCCAUGAGUGGUACAACAUCCUUCAAGAGAAGAAAUGUUUAGAGGGAUUCAGCAGGAGGAGCAAGGAAUUGACAAAGAAAGUCAAUAAUUACCAUUGGUAGCCAGAUAGUAUAGUAUAGUCAACAUAACAGAAUAUCCACAGCAACUAAUGGUUAAAAACUGGCAUAAUUAAGCCCUAUGCUAAAGCAUAGGAAGUUCGAAAGUGUGUUGAUAUCUUUGUUCCCUAAGGGUUAAUAAAUUACGUCUGGCAAUACA